rnacentral:rRNA from 1 species
AACUUUUAACAACGGAUCUCUUGGUUCUGGCCAUCGAUGAAGAACGCAGCGAAAUGCGAUAAGUAAUGUGAAUUGCAGAAUUCAGUGAAUCAUCGAAUCUUUGAACGCACAUUGCGCCCGCCAGCAUUCUGGCGGACAUGCCUGUUCGAGGCGUCAUUU